AACGAACGCUGGCGGCAUGCCUAACACAUGCAAGUCGAACGAUUGCCUUCGGGUGAUAGUGGCGCACGGGUGCGUAACGCGUGGGAAUCUGCCCUUAGGUUCGGAAUAACAGCUGGAAACGGCUGCUAAUACCGGAUGAUAUCGCGAGAUCAAAGAUUUAUCGCCUGAGGAUGAGCCCGCGUUGGAUUAGGUAGUUGGUGGGGUAAAGGCCUACCAAGCCGACGAUCCAUAGCUGGUCUGAGAGGAUGAUCAGCCACACUGGGACUGAGACACGGCCCAGACCCCCUCGGGAGGGCGGAGGUGGGAAUAUUGGACAAUGGGCGCAAGCCUGAUCCAGCAAUGCCGCGUGAGUGAUGAAGGCCCUAGGGUUGUAAAGCUCUUUUACCCGGGAAGAUAAUGACUGUACCGGGAGAAUAAGCCCCGGCUAACUCCGUG
rnacentral:rRNA from 1 species